GACGAACGCUGGCGGCGUGCUUAACACAUGCAAGUCGAACGAUGAAGAAGAGAAACGCGAACUUCGGUUCAACUUUCACUUCGGAUUAGUGGCAGACGGGUGAGUAACGCGUGAGCAACCUACCUCUUACAAAGGGAUAGCCUCGGGAAACCGUGAUUAAUACCAUAUGACACAUUCAUAAGGCAUCUUAAGAAUGUUAAAGCUACGGCGGUAAGAGAUGGGCUCGCGUCCCAUUAGCUAGUUGGUGAGGUAACGGCCCACCAAGGCGACGAUGGGUAACCGGCCUGAGAGGGUGAACGGUCACAUUGGAACUGAGACACGGUCCAAACUCCUACGGGAGGCAGCAGUGGGGAAUAUUGCACAAUGGAGGGAACUCUGAUGCAGCGACGCCGCGUGAGCGAUGAAGGAAUUCGUGUCGUAAAGCUCUGUUCUAUGGGAAGAAAAGGACUGUACCAUAGGAGAAAGCCCCGGCUAAAUACGUG
rnacentral:rRNA from 1 species